rnacentral:rRNA from 1 species
UGCAGUCGAGGGGUAACAGGGAGAAGCUUGCUUUUCCGCUGACGACCGGCGCACGGGUGAGUAACGCGUAUGCAACCUACCUCUUACUGGGGUAUAGCCCAGAGAAAUUUGGAUUAACCCCCCAUAGUACCAUGAUAUCGCAUGAUAUUUUGGUUAAAGGUUACGGUAAGAGAUGGGCAUGCGUCCCAUUAGUUAGUUGGCGAGGUAAUGGCUCACCAAGACUUCGAUGGGUAGGGGUUCUGAGAGGAUGAUCCCCCACACUGGUACUGAGACACGGACCAGACUCCUACGGGAGGCAGCAGUGAGGAAUAUUGCGCAAUGGACGAAAGUCUGACGCAGCCAUGCCGCGUGCAGGAUGACGGCGCUACGCGUUGUAAACUGCUUUUAUUUACAAAGAAACCUCGGGACGUGUCCCGAGCUGACGGUAGUAUUUGAAUAAGCACCGGCUAACUCCGUGCCAGCAGCCGCGGUAAUACGGAGGGUGCAAGCGUUAUCCGGAUUUAUUGGGUUUAAAGGGUCCGUAGGCGGACAAUUAAGUCAGUGGUGAAAUCCAACAGCUCAACUGUUGAACUGCCAUUGAUACUGAUUGUCUUGAGUAUGUUAGAUGUUGGCGGAAUA